rfam:Picea glauca, whole genome shotgun sequence.
GCAUGCCUACAAUAUAGCAUUAAUGCAGUGAAUCUGAUUAGAACUUUGUAGUUAAGCACACUUAGGAUAGAGUAGUAUUGGGAUGGGUGACCACUUGGGAAGUCUUACUAUUUUACAUGCC